AUGAACUGGCUGCCUCUAAUUUUCAUUCUCACAGUUUUGAAAGGUGCCCUUUGUCAGAUUACUCUCACCCAGUCAAGUCCAGUAAUCAAGAAUCAAGGAGAAUCACUCCAACUCAAAUGCUCCAUAACUGGGUUUGAUAUUUACAAUCAUUAUAUGGAUUGGUUGAUGAAGAAGCCCGGGAACCCACUGAAGUGGCUGGUACACUAUCGUAUCCCGAAGUACAGUGCUUAUUCCCCCACAAUACAAGGAAGAUUUACAGCCUCCAAAGACAGUUCCAACUUCUACCUUCAAAUGAAUGAUUUGAAAAUGGAGGAUACAGCUGUGUACUAUUGUACUAGUGCAAUAACCCACACAGUGAUGGAAAAGAAUCAUGACGAGAGGGCAACAUGCUUUUUGGUCUGA